AUGCUACCCACAAAUCCAACUGUGGCUCAAACCAGAGAGCUUUUAUUGGGUCGUUUUUUCCUGAUUUUUUUUUUUUUUCCCCCCUCCACCCCUUCCCUCUCAUUGAAACCUCUGUCAGAGCGAGUCGAAACACUUCUGCUGUUGGUUGGGGCGGUUUGUUGUCGAACAGUUUGCAACCCUGGUUGUCUUGCGCCCCGGGUGUGGGCAUCUCCCGCUUGCGCACUGCGGCAGCAGCGUGGCGCGCAUGGGGGGGAGAUGUGUCCGGCCGUUUCGGAGAUGAGGACGAGGGCUGCGGCGCACCCGCGCACGAGUCUCUCGGGGCAGCGCCGUGUCAGGUCUGCGGCGGUACGGCAUCGAGCUAUACAUCCGCUUUCUUCCGUUGGGGAGACCCAACCUCUUGCUUGGAUCGCAAGAGGCCAAAAUAUCGGGGUUUCCAGCUCGAAGCUCUUGGGUGGCCAGCCAAAUCCCCUCCCCUCCCACGCAGAAGCACUCCGCAGCGCAACGCGGUGGGCUCAGACCCCCGUCCUGACGGUUUUACCCCAGCGGCGUGGGGCUGCCGUCCAGGGAAACUCGGGGCCAGCCAACCGGUGCUUGCGCGGCGUCGCUUCUCCUAGUCCCGCUGCCACGAGUAGAGACACUCUCGGGUUGGCCAUGCCGGCACUGCCCGAGCCGCCUUUCGUCCCCCGGCGGGAAGCGUGGAGCGGGCAGAGCCUCGCACAGAACACUAAAAGGAGCGCUCGAGCUUUCAUUUUUUUCCCGAGGACGGCACUGAAGCGCUUUUCGGGGCCGGGCGCUUGCUCGCCUUGGGUGACGCAACGCUCGAGGCGCGGGAGGCCGCCUCGGUCUGCGUCCGCCCCCGGCGGAGCGGCGCCUUUGCCGUUGCUCGCGUUCCUGGGACGCGGGGGUGAAGCAGCAGUUUCGCCUCCCCAGACACUUCUGAUCCCGGCCGCUCCAUGCACACCCCUCUGUAGCUUUCCUUUUUUUUUUUCUUUCCUUUUUUUUCCUUUUUCUGGUCUCAGCCAGUUGCCUGUCUGUCCUCUAACCACAGCCUGCUAA
rnacentral:lncRNA from 1 species